rnacentral:rRNA from 1 species
UACAGAGGGUGCAAGCGUUGUUCGGAAUCACUGGGCGUAAAGCGCGCGCAGGCGGGAAAGCAAGUCUGUAAGUGAAAUCCAGCCGCUCAACGGCUGGGCUGCUUCGGAUACUACUUUUCUAGGGACCGGUAGAGGCUGGUAGAAUUGCAGGUGUAGCGGUGGAAUGCGUAGAGAUCUGCAAGAAUACCCGUGGCGAAGGCGGCCAGCGUGGGCCGGGUCC